rnacentral:rRNA from 1 species
UACGUAGGGUGCAAGCGUUGCCCGGAUUUAUUGGGCGUAAAGGGCGCGUAGGCGGCUCGGCACGUCCGUUGUGAAAUCGCCCGGCUCAACUGGGCGGGGUCAGCGGAUACGGCCGAGCUUGAGCAAGCUAGGGGGCAAUGGAAUUCCCGGUGUAGUGGUGGAAUGCGUAGAUAUCGGGAGGAACACCAGUGGCGAAGGCGGCUUGCUGGGCGUGAUCUGACGCUGAGGCGCGAAAGCGUGGGGAGCGAACAGG